UUAAAGUUUUAUUUUGGCUUGAGGUUUUAUUAUUGAUUUAUUUUAUAUGUAAGUUUUUGCGUGUAUAUUUACUUAUUUUAAUAGUAAGUGGAGUUUAUUUGUAGUCUCAGUAAGAAGAAUUAUAAAUCAAGGAGGCUUGGAUAUAGUAAUUUCAUUUAGUAUUGGCUAAAUUUGUGCCAGCAGCCGCGGUUACACAAAUAAUGCAAAUAAAACUGUUUCAGUAUGAGUUUAAAUGUUUGUUAGAAAUAGUGUUGGAUUUGUUAGGUGAAAUUUUAAAUCUAAGAAUUUUUAUUUUAAGUGAUUUUGAGGCUUGUAAAUUUUAAUUAUAAACUAGGAUUAGAUACCCUAUUAUUUAAAAUGUAGUUAUAAGUGCUAGAGUAGUAGUAGUUAUGUUCUUGAAACUUAAAAAAUUUGGCGGUAUUUUAGUCUGUUCAGAGGAAUCUGUCCUGUAAUUGAUAAUCCGCGAUGAACCCCACUUGAUCUUGUUUUUCAGUUUAUAUACCGUCGUUAUCAGAAUAUUUUAUUAGAAUAAUAAUUUUCUAUAUUUUAUAUUAGAACUUAUAUCAGAUCAAGGUGUAGCUUAUGGUUAAGGAGAGAUGGAUUACAGUGUUUUUAUUUAUACGGAUCUAAUUUUGAAAUAUAUUAGUGAAGGUGGAUUUGAUAGUAAAAUUUUGUAGAUUGUAGAUUUGAUUUUGGCUCUAGAAUAUGCACACAUCGCCCGUCGCUCUUGCUAUUAAGGCAAGAUAAGUCGUAACAUAGUAGAUGUACCGGAAGGUGUAUCUAGAAAGA
rnacentral:ncRNA from 1 species